AUACUUAUUUUAGUGGCUAUGCUUAGGGGAUAGAUUAAAGGUGCCAUGAUCUGAAGAGAGAAAAAAGGCUUCUCAGUGUUCUUCCUCCAUAUUAAAAUGACUCAACAGAAAUCA
rnacentral:snoRNA from 1 species